GGGGUUGUAGCUCAGUGGCACAGCAUUCGACUGCAGAUCGAGAGGUCCCCUGUUCAAAUCUGGUUGCCCCU
rnacentral:tRNA from 1 species